CUUCCCUGAAAUGGCCCAGAGCACCUGCACCGAGAAAAGCUUGGUUCUCAACCAUCCAGCAUCUUCCUUGGGAUUGAUACGCCGUCCAAAUCCACCUUUGCCUCCCAGCAAAGGAGAGUGUUGGAAAUGAGACCAGUGGGAGCAGCGGACCAGAAAGGCGCGCAGUCUGCCCUUCAGAUGACGAAUCCUGUCCAGCUGGGCGGUGCUGACCCACGGAACCGGGCCCUCGGCUUCCCUCUCCCGAGCACAGAGCUCCCAGCCCCCCGGGUGUGGGGGAGGGUCAGUCGGCCUGGGCUCUUCAGGCCCCGACACCGGUGCUCCCCUCCCCUCCUGGGCUUCUGGCUUAACUGCACUUCGCGGCCCUUAAGGGGAGGGGGAGCCACGCCACUGACACGUGGCUGAUGGAACGCAGGCAGGAGGGUCAAAGCCAGCUUCCAGACCCAGUCCAUGAAAUGCCCCUGCAGGUGUCCCCCCACCCCUCUUUCUCUCUCUCUCCACAUUCCCUGAGGACCCUGUGAGCCAUGCACUGAAGAAGGCAGCGGCUCCAAAGCAGAGCAAGCAGGGUCCCUGAAGGAAGUGUUGCAGGAAACGGGGCGUGAGAGGAUGGUCCGUUCCAGGUCUGAGGUUGCUUAUAAUCCACUAAGAGCAAACUCUGCUGUCAUCUUUGUAUGAAGAGCCUUAUUCAGAUCUCGAGAUCGAUGCACCGUCAGGCUAGUCUUGGGAGUGGGACUACUAGGCGGGGCAGAGCAUGACAGAGCUAAGUCUUUUUGAACCUGCGGCGAAACUGCUUUCUGGAGAGGUGGCAGGACUUACAGUUCUGAGCAGGAGGGGCGCUGGCUUCACCCUCUCUAGAACUGACAACACGUUCGCUUCACUGCCUCCUUGUCCUCUUGUUGAAGGGCUGCAGUGGGAGAAGCGCUCUCACUCUGAACCCCUGGUUCUGAAUCUGGGGGCAGGGUGGUGGCUGUAGGUUCAUCGGCAAUCUCAGAGAAGGGGGUGGAGCCUCAGCUUCUCUUUACUCUCCCUCCCCCACAGGGCACAAUCCCACGUUAAGAAUGGAUGAGCCAGCAGUGGUGGGUGGGAACGGGGACCCGUGAGGACACUGGUGGGGAGUGAUGGAGCUGGGAGUGAGUGAGGGCACUGGGGGGGGUGUGGCGGGGAGAGUCCACAGGGCCUGGUGACUGCCUGGAUCAGUUGAGAGGGGAGGGGUGUUUACGCUCUGGGAUUUGGAACUUUCAAAUUAUUUUAAGUUAUUUAUUAACCCCGAGGCCAAACUUCACUGCCUCCCUGGCUCUGUCUAGAAUAACUUUCCUCCGUCUCUUUCCAGUCUCCCGUGUAUAUUCAGCAUCUGGAAACCAGGCUCUGCAUAAGGGAUGUGAGUACAACCCUGGAUCUACCCAUCGGCCCCUCCCUCACAGGCGGAGAACAAGACACACAGCAAACCAAAUAAAUGAAAGACGAAACAGAACUUGAGCUCAUGGCAGCGUGUGCUGAGGAGAGAAACCGGUGCUCUGGGAGACAGUGCCGAGCGAUGUAUCAGCUAUCCACCGCUGAGUCACAGAUCGCCCCAAACACCGCAGCUCGAAACAUCUGCGACCUCGGAUUCCGCGAUCAGGGGCCGGGAGCAGCUGGGCUGGGCGGUGCUGGCUCAGGGGCUGUCAGGAAGGUUGGUCAGGCCGUUGCCCUGGGCUGAGGCUUCAUCUUAAAACUCACGUGGGGCCGAAGGGUCCGAUUUCAGGUUGGCUUUCGUGGUCGCUGGCAAGUCUCAGGUCUGUGUAAGUUGUUGGGCCGAAGGCUGGAAGUCUCCCCUGACCCAUAGUUACUCAACUUUGGCCCUCUCCACAGGGCAUAGAAACUCCUUGCCCCAGAGUGAACGGUCCGAGAGGGAGAGGCUGAGAGACGGUGUGUAUCCAAGACGGAAGCCACGGUCUUCUCAUAGCCGAAUCUGAGACGUGGCCGGUCGUCACUCUGCUGUGUUCUGUGCGUUAGACCGGAGCUUCUUGCUCUAAUCCUCAUUCCCGAGGAGGAGAGCUAAGUGCCACACUUUGAAGGGAGGAACAGCAAGGCAUUUGUGGACAUACUCAGCAAGGAAAUUGUAGACGGAUUUUAUUUUUUAAACUACCACUGGGAGAGCUGGUGGGGGUGGGCAUUACUUUACACAGGAUGACCCAAUAGAUUUUAAAAGAUAUUUCAAAUAUUGAGUUAUACAGUGAUGAAUAUAUACUGGUCCAAAUUCUUAGCUUACAGUCCUAAAAUAGAUAUAUUUCAGAUUUCAGAAUGUUUGAGAUUUUAAAGAAGCAAUGCGCCGUAGGUGUCCUGUAUUAUAUGAAACCCUCCAGUGAGGCCUGGGGCUGCAGCCUGUAAUUAAGCACACUAUUUCUGCCACAAAACCUCUGCAUAUUCAUACCAUGUAGGAUAAAUAUAGGCUCUGAACAGCCUCAUGUCCGUUAAGGUCAGAUUUGUGGACAAAUAAAUUUGUACCAAAUAUAGAAAAGACCUUUUGUUUUUCAGAGCGCUUUGGAUUUUGCAGUUGCGGGUCUGGAGUUGUGGACCCAUCGUUAAGUCUUCAAUAAUAUACUCAUUUAAAAUAAAGAGCAGUUACUUAUUCUUAAACUAUUUCUUUGUCUAAUACCAUGCAAAAUUAAUGAAGCAAUUUUAAAAUGUUCUAAAACCUCUCAGGAGAUUGUAUCUCAUUGUGGAAGGGGUUUGUUAUUUCUAAGAUUGGAACCUCCCGUAGUAAGAAUCAGAGUGAGAUUGCAGCCAUGCUGGAGUCUUGGUACAGGAGCCCAGGACCCCUGUCCUGGAUCAUGGAAGUAAUGGAGAACCACUGAAGAAUUUUGACCCCUGGGUACUGGAACGCCUUCGGAGUGAGAGUUGGGAUCUGGAGGGAGGAGAACCAUUCUUGUUUGUCAUCUUUAACUCUGUCCCCUUUCUCUGCCUUGAGUCCUGGAAUAUCUGGACAAUCUCAGCACCCAGGUCAGAGGUAAAAAGCUUCUGGUUUAUUUAUUUUUUAAUUGAAGUUAAAUAUAGUCAGUUUACAAUGUUGUGUCAAUUUCUUGUGCACAGCAUACAUACACAUACAUAUAUUUCUUUUCAUAUUCUUUUUCAUUAUAGGUUACUGUAGAUAUUGAAUAUAAUAUAUAGUAGAAACAUUAU